ACAAUCCCGAAAUUCUUUCUCAAACCCACGCAUAUAGCAACAGGAGAGUUUAUUCGGAUAAGAAGCCAACAAACAACAUGAAAGACGAGCUCGCACCCAUUAUUGCUCUGAUUUGCACACAACAUGGGAAAACACAGAAGAAAACAAUGACGAGGCAGCUGUUCGGGAGAUGUUGGAGGAAUGGGCCUAAUAAACAGACAGCCCGGAAGCCUCUGGUGAAGAGGUGCCAACAGUCUGUCGUGGUUCAGAUGGUGCUCAGCGCAAGAUGUGUUUAUAAUUGAUAUUAUUUGUUUAGAGAUUGAGAUUCAUGGGAAUAGACAAUGCUCUGGUUGUUUGGCAGUUUCACACUGACAGUAAAAGAAAACGCAUCAAGCUGCAGAAGAUUGACAAGCUCAUCAAUAGUUUGUGAGAGAGGCGGUGACCUCUACGGAACUAUUUCUCCUCUCUGAAACAGUAUAUUAGCUAAUCGUCAUCUGGAAUCUGACUCACAAAUAUAAAGAGAUGUCAUUCUCCAGAAGCAACAACAAAACGAAUGGCCCUCUCUUAGAGACACAGUGAUGCAUUAAGGCUGUCCAAAUAA